GGAGUCGAGUAUGAAUGGAUCUACGGAAACAAGCUGUCUCUUUUUGGUUAUAUUGAAGUUUCUUUAAGGGUGCAAAGUCCCUUGAUUAGAAAAAAGACGAGAAGACCCUUAGAGUUUUUAUUAAAGAUAAGAAUUUAUUUAAGUUUUUGCUGGGGCGGCAAAGAGACAAAGCAAUUAAACUCUCUUUUUAUUGUUUUUAGAAGACGAAAAUGUUAAGAAUCAUUAAACUACCUUAGGGAUAACAGCAUAAUUAAAUUUUAGUUUGUGACCUCGAUGUUGGACUAGGAAGGCUUUUGACCAGCAGUCAA
rnacentral:rRNA from 1 species